rnacentral:rRNA from 1 species
UCGAGAAUCUUCGGCAAUGGGCGAAAGCCUGACCGAGCGAUGCCGCGUGCGGGAUGAAGGCCUUCGGGUUGUAAACCGCUGUCGUAGGGGAGAAAGGGUCGUUGAAGAAACGACUUUGAUCUAUCCUAGGAGGAAGUCCGGGCUAAGUUCGUGCCAGCAGCCGCGGUAACACGAACAGGACAAACGUUAUUCGGAAUUACUGGGCUUAAAGGGUGCGUAGGCGGUGCGGUAAGUGCGGUGUGAAAUCCCACGGCUCAACCGUGGAAUUGCGCUGCAUACUGCCGUGCUAGAGGGAGACAGGGGUAAGCGGAACUGAUGGUGGAGCGGUGAAAUGCGUUGAUAUCAUCAGGAACACCGGUGGCGAAAGCGGCUUACUGGGUCUCUUCUGACGCUGAGGCACGAAAGCUAGGGUAGCGAACGGGAUUAGAUACCCUAGUAGUCCCUGAGCGGGCUGGCAAGGCGCAU